GUCCUGUACAGUCUAUGCUGCUACAGAUACGAGGCGACACGACCCCCCUGAGGGAGCUGCUCUUAGACCUCACUCAUGUGGAUGACAGCUGGACUUCGGUGUGGCCGGCAAAACGUGACAACAUCCACCAACCACUGGAACACAUCUCCAAAGUUCUGCCGGGCCAGCUCAGCUUCCCCUCAGAAGAAGUGCAGCCACCUGCCAGAUGAAGGAGCCUUUUGAGAGGCAGCUGGCAUCGUGAUUGGACUGUACUUUGGUCUGUUCCAGUCCAGCUUCAGCUCCAGAGACGGCAGGCGGGACGAGUCAACGGAGGCCGGGUGGACGAAGGCAUGAAGCUGAGUACAAUCCAGAAAACAACAGAGGAGGAGUGCAGGGCCAGAACAAACAGAGUAGCAUGGUAUGUCUCUUAGAAAACAUCAUAGUAUAGCCUUUGGUAUGAAAAAACGCCAUCAUAUACAUCGUAUAUUGUACAAAUAACAAGUCAAAGCAAAGAGACAUACAUUGUAGAAUUGUAGUAAUUGUGGGCUGACUGAUUUACUGAUUAUCAGUAUUUUAUUUUUUACUGAUUUACGGUAAUAAAUACAUUUAAAAAUGGUGCUUCUUUGUCUCUGAACC
ensembl:lncRNA